rnacentral:rRNA from 1 species
GAUGAACGCUGGCGGCGUGCCUAAUACAUGCAAGUCGAGCGAACAGACGAGGAGCUUGCUCCUCUGACGUUAGCGGCGGACGGGUGAGUAACACGUGUAUAACCUACCUAUAAGACUGGGAUCACUUCGGGAAACCGGAGCUAAUACCGGAUAAUAUAUUGAACCGCAUGGUUCAAUAGUGAAAGACGGUUUUGCUGUCACUUAUCGAUGGAUCCGCGCCGCAUUAGCUAGUUGGUAAGGUAACGGCUUACCAAGGCAACGAUGCGUAGCCGACCUGAGAGGGGGAUAGGCCACACGGGAAGUGAGACAGGGUCAAGACGACUAAGGGAGGCAGCAGUAGGGAACCGGACGCAAUGGGGGAAAGCAUGACGGAGCAAGGCCGCGUGAGUGAUGAAGGUCUUCGGAGCGUAAAAAUCGGUUAUGAGGGAAGAACAAAUGUGUAAGGAACUAUGCACGUCGUGACGGUACUGAAUCAGAAAGCAACGGCUAACUACGUG